rfam:Salmo salar isolate Sally breed double haploid chromosome ssa09, whole genome shotgun sequence.
UGGCUCAGUUGGUAGAGCAUGGUGUUUGCAAUGCCAGCGUUGUGGGUUCAAUUCCCAC